rnacentral:sRNA from 1 species
CUGUUAGUCCCGCGAGCCAAUCCCUAACAUAACAGCCGCCCCGCAUAUCGUCGCACCUACUAUUAGGCACACCGAUCUCCAUUCCGACAAUCUCCUCGUAGAUAACGGUCACAUCACCAGCGCCAUUGACUGGCAGGGAGCUUGGGCUGGGCCUCUGUUUCUUGAAAGGCGUCAUCCACGACCCAUUGAUCAUCAUGGCGAUGUCAUUUUGAAGCCCCCAGUGAAUUUUAAGGAUCUUGUGCCAAAUGAAAAGUCCCGGUUAAGGAGACAGAUCACUAGUUCUAUUGUUCUUUAUCUUUAUGAACAACAAACAGCAAAGAUCAACCCUCGUUUGGACCGAAUCCUUCGCUCAAAGCUAGGGAGGAUAAGAUGUGAUCCUAUAACCUUCGCCAGCAACACAUGGGAUGACGAUUUACUUCCUCUAAGAGAGUCACUAAUUAACGUAGAAAGGCUUUAACUUUGUUUGUCCGAUUCACUUUAUCGAGGAGGAGCUUCAAGCACACACAAAGUAUGGUAAAGGAUGGAAUGAUGUCCAAGACUUUUGGAGGUUUGUACAAGUAAUUGUGACUCGUGAUGGCUGGACCACACACGAUGAUGCAGCGACUCUCUUUUCAGAACUCAGGGACUUCGGUUUGAGAAAUAUGGGGA